rnacentral:rRNA from 1 species
CGUUACAUUAAGUGUUAAGUAAGAUGAAGUAGUGUACAUGUCUGCUAGGCGACUACGUUUGGGUAAAUAAAAGUCGAAGUACUUGGCGGCCUAAGACAUCUCGGCCCGUGAGACUUGAUGAUUAAUCUGAUGAUCCGCAUUGUAGUGUACUUAGUCUUGUAAGCUCUAAGAGAUUAAUAUUUUAGAGUUCAGUUGGUGUAUGGCCGUUGUCAGCUUAUGUUGUUGAGAUGGUGAGAAAUAAGCUUAAGCCAAAACAUAUAAAAAUGUGCUGGAUGAAGUCAGGUCGUUAUGCCGCCUAUGGUUAAGGUUUAAUUGAGUCGCAAUAGUUAGUCUAAAUUCGGAGGUUUGGAUGAAAAAAGCUGUAAGAAGAAAUGGGUAGUAAUAAAGUAGAAGCGCGAUUUUAUGAAUAGUAAAUUUUUAGGUGUACAAAUCGCCC